rnacentral:rRNA from 1 species
CUGGAAUCGCUAGUAAUCGCGAAUCAGAAUGCCGCGGUGAAUACGUUCCCGGGUCCUUGUACACACCGCCCGUCACACCAUGGGAGUCGGAAAUGCCCGAAGUCUGUGACCCAACCAUUAAGGAGGGAGCAGCCGAAGGCAGGUCGGAUGACUGGGGUGAAGUCGUAACAAGGUAAC